rnacentral:rRNA from 1 species
UACGGAGGGUGCAAGCGUUAUCCGGAUUCACUGGGUUUAAAGGGUGCGUAGGUGGGCAGGUAAGUCAGUGGUGAAAUCUCCGGGCUUAACCCGGAAACUGCCAUUGAUACUAUCUGUCUUGAAUACCGUGGAGGUGAGCGGAAUAUGUCAUGUAGCGGUGAAAUGCUUAGAUAUGACAUAGAACACCAAUUGCGAAGGCAGCUUACUACCCGAAUAUUGACACUGAGGCACGAAAGCGUGGGGAUCAAACAGG